rnacentral:lncRNA from 1 species
UUUUUUUUUUUUUUAAUUGAAAAACAAAUCUUUUUUUCAUUUAACCACAAAACAGAGCGUUUAGAUUAUGGUGGCAGAUGUUAUGUUUUUCACUUCUUUAUACUUGUCUGUAUUUUCCAAAUCUAGAAUGAGUAUGUGCUACUCAUAUGAGUGUGUUGAAAAAAUAAAAAGUUUGAUGUUCAACAGUGUAAGACAUCUUUUAAUAAUAAUUCUUCCAUUUCAUUUAAGAAGAUUUGUGGGACCCCCUAUAAAAUGGUCUCAAAGGAUGACCUGACCUAGUUUUUACCAAAAUCGUGGAAAAUAUCAGCCCCCUGCCAGAUUCUUUAAGAUUUUCAGAUGGAGAUUUUAAGACCUCGCUAAGAAGCCCAUCCCAAUUUUUAAUCUCUCUUAAUGCCAGAGAGAUGUACUCCUUCCUACUAUAAAUCUUUCUGGUCUCAAUUUAAUCCAUUUCAUCUUUCUCUGCAAAGAAGGAAAAGAAAAAAAAUUUUUUUUGAAAAGAAACUUUAAAAUGCAUUUUAACACCAAAAUUCUAAGAGUGGUGGUGCUAAUGUGAUGAUGUUAUUUCUUCCUUUUCAAUGUUUUAUAAUGAAAACAGUUUAUACCCUGGCCCAAAUGGCUUUUCUUCCUCCCCUUCUUUAAGGAUUGCUAAUAUCUGUGUGUGAAGUUAAAAGGCUUAGAUAAAUGGCUUUCACUAAAGGCUUAGCUAUACCACAACUGCCAUGCAAGGUGAGUAAGUAAAAUGGCAGGGCCAGGAGAGUAAAGGAACUUUCCCAAGAUCCCACAAUUAGUUGCACUGCAGUCAAGACUUAAACCCAAACUCCGAAGGCACUGGUAGACAGCCUCCAAAAUGGCCCCCAGUGAUUCCCAUUCCUGAUUAUUCACAUCCUUUUUAGUUCCCAUUUGGAAGAGGGCUGAACUGUGGACCCAAAAGGAUAUUUUAGAAAUAACUGUGUGGGGCUUCUGGGGCUAGGUCCUAAAAGACAUUGCAGCUUCCACCUUGUUCUCUUAGAUCACACUCCAGGGAAGCCAGUCACCAUGUCAUGAGGACACUCAAGCAGCCCAAUGGAGAGGUCCACAUGGCAAUAGCACCAGACAAGCUUUCAAAUGACUUCAGCCCUAGCCAACAUCUUGACUGCAACCUCAUUAAAGAUCUAGAGCCAGAAACACCCAAAUACAGUACAUCUGGAUUCCUGGCUCACAGAAACUGUAUGAGAUAAUAUUUACUGUUUCAACGCACUAAAUUUUGAGGUAAUUUGUUACACAGUAGUAGAUAACUAACACAGACAUAGUACCUCCCUACUGAGUGGUUCUUACAGUUUGUGAAGUCUACUAAAAAGCAUAAAGCUGGAUUAAUUUUAUCCAGACCCAACAGCAUAGGGCCUGACACAGAGUGGGGCCUCUUAGGUUGCUGAAUGGAUUCAUUCAAGCAGGAUUGGGUGCUAACGCUGGUCUGCGGUGGAGGAGGAACAAGAGAGGGAUGCAUAGUCAUCCUAGAUGCCUCCUUAACUAUUUCUUCAGCGAGACUUUUCCUGCUGCCCUAUACUCAUUGAGUCUUUUACACUCCCAUAGCACCCAAUGCUUCUUUCAAACUCUAAUGAGGAAAAAUAUAAUCCACUCUCGACAUUGAUGAUGACUUCUUCAAUGUCUGCUUCUGAAUUAGACUGUCAGCCAGAUGAGGUCAGGGACUGUAGGCCAAUAUACUGCCCCUCCCUCUGUCCCAGAAGAGAGACUAGAGGAGC